rnacentral:lncRNA from 1 species
CCCCUUACUUAUAUUCCCUAUCAAAAAUAUUCGUUGUUAGAAUAAAGUACAAAGAACUUCUGAAGGAUUUGCCUUCAACUGCAAUUAUAUUGUAUGCUGGCGAAACAAAACUAUCCAUAGCCGCUGCAUGUUUAUGCACCUGUCCUGAUUGAUUCAGGGGCCUGUCGUUCAGCAGUUAUCGUUUGUUGAUGUUGUUCAUUGGUAUUUUCCCGUUUGGAUAUAUAAAUUAGAUAGUUGGUUUUCCUGUUCGAAUUGUGUACGCUAAUAAUUUUGGGGUCCUUUAUAGCUUGCUGUUUGGUCUGUAUCAAAGCCCUGUGUAAAAGGCCGUACUUUGACCUGUGUUUGUUAUUAUCAGGUUGAGAACAACCCUCCCUCAGACAAGGGGUCAUUUUACUGAUGUAAACAAUUAAAUAGAAAUACCAAGGAUUUGUAUAGUUCUUCUAUACAAAACCUUUGAAAACUUAGAAUUUUGUACUCAAAAAGAGGAGAGUUAAAUCAUAUUUUAAUCAACUUUUUCUA